GAUGAACGCUGGCGGCGUGCCUAAUACAUGCAAGUCGAGCGAACAGACGAGAGUGCUUGCACUCUCUGACGUUAGCGGCGGACGGGUGAGUAACACGUGGGUAACCUACCUAUAAGACUGGGAUAACUUCGGGAAACCGGAGCUAAUACCGGAUAAUAUUUAGCUUCGCAUGAAGCAAUAGUGAAAGACGGUUCUGCUGUCACUUAUAGAUGGACCCGCGGUGUAUUAGCUAGUUGGUGAGGUAACGGCUCACCAAGGCAACGAUACAUAGCCGACCUGAGAGGGUGAUCGGCCACACUGGGACUGAGACACGGCCCAGACUCCUACGGGAGGCAGCAGUAGGGAAUCUUCCGCAAUGGACGAAAGUCUGACGGAGCAAUGCCGCGUGAGUGAAGAAGGUUUUCGGAUCGUAAAACUCUGUUGUAAGGGAAGAACAAGUACGUUAGUAACUGAACGUACCUUGACGGUGCCUUACCAGAAAGCCACGGCUAACUACGUG
rnacentral:rRNA from 1 species